rnacentral:rRNA from 1 species
GAUGAACGCUGGCGGCGUGCCUAAUACAUGCAAGUCGAGCGAACAGACGAGGAGCUUGCUCCUCUGACGUUAGCGGCGGACGGGUGAGUAACACGUGGAUAACCUACCUAUAAGACUGGGAUAACUUCGGGAAACCGGAGCUAAUACCGGAUAAUAUAUUGAACCGCAUGGUUCAAUAGUGAAAUACGGUUUUGCUGUCACUUAUAGAUGGAUCCGCGCCGCAUUAGCUAGUUGGUAAGGUAACGGCUUACCAAGGCAACGAUGCGUAGCCGACCUGAGAGGGUGAUCGGCCACACUGGAACUGAGACACGGUCCAGACUCCUACGGGAGGCAGCAGUAGGGAAUCUUCCGCAAUGGGCGAAAGCCUGACGGAGCAACGCCGCGUGAGUGAUGAAGGUCUUCGGAUCGUAAAACUCUGUUAUUAGGGAAGAACAAAUGUGUAAGUAACGAUGCACGUCUUGACGGUACCUAAUCAGAAAGCCACGGCUAACUACGU